rnacentral:misc_RNA from 1 species
UCCGAGUUGACCCCGGCAGUCUCCCAUGAGUCCCCAACCACCCGAGGGUGUUGCUGGCAACAUGGAACGAGGGUUGCGCUCGUUGCGGGACUUAACCCAACAUCCCACGACACGAGCUGACGACAACCAUGCACCACCUGUACACCAGUCCGAAGACGCACCCAUCUCUGAGUGAUUCCGGUGUAUGUCAAGCCUUGGUAAGGUUCUUCGCGUUGCAUCGAAUUAAUCCGCAUGCUCCGCCGCUUGUGCGGGCCCCCGUCAAUUCCUUUGAGUUUUAGCCUUGCGGCCGUACUCCCCAGGCGGGGCACUUAAUGCGUUAGCGACGGCACGGAUCCCGUUGAUAAGGACCCACACCUAGUGCCCAACGUUUACGGCGUGGACUAC